rnacentral:rRNA from 1 species
UACGUAGGGGGCAAGCGUUGUCCGGAUUUAUUGGGCGUAAAGAGCGUGUAGGCGGCCAUACAGGUCAGCUGUGAAAACUCGAGGCUCAACCUCGAGACGUCGGUUGAAACCGUUUGGCUAGAGUCCGGAAGAGGAGAGUGGAAUUCCCGGUGUAGCGGUGAAAUGCGCAGAUAUCGGGAAGAACACCCGUGGCGAAGGCGGCUCUCUGGGGACGGUACUGACGCUGAGACGCGGAAAGCGUGGGGAGCGAACAGG